GCGCAUGCUCUAUGGGGUAGAGACGCUAGGCCGGCACUGCCUAGGUGGGCCGGGCGGUGCGAGGGUCGCCUUUCAGCCUUUACCUCUACCCACUGAAAUGGAGUAGGUCGGUGAGCGCCGAUCUGCUGGAGAAUCUCAUUAUCCCAUCGGCGCUCUGCCUGCUCCUGGCCUCCAAGCCUCUGAAGCCCCUCGGGUUUCAGCUGCCGGCUACCCUCGAGCCCGUGGUGCCCACGAGAGAGGCGACUUUACGUCAGCGGCCCUGGGCUGAGAUUUGAGAACGCGACCAAGUGGAGAAUGUUGGAGCCAGAUUUUAAAAUCCUUGUCUUCCUUCUGCGUGCUACUUGAUCUAAAUGAGAUACGGCAAAGUCACAGAACCUGUUUUUAUGUUUUUGCCUGAUUCAUACGGGCUUCUCCGGUGAAGAUGGGCCUGAAGUAACGCUUGGGUUGCUUCUGACGUUAUAACUCAUCCUGUAGCUGCAGCAACCGUGGUCCUUGCAACCUCAUAAAAAUGUUGCCAGCAUUGUUUCGAUAGUGCUGCUUAAUUCUUGGAAGGUUCUUCGGACUUCACACAUUCCAGCAGUAGCUCUCUCAGCUCCUGUCCUGCACAGCUUUGAAGUGCUGGCUGGAGUGCAGUGGUGCCAUCUCGGCUCACUGCAGCCUCAACCUCCUGGGCUCAAGCGAUCCUCCUGCCACACCCUCCUGAGUAGCUGGGAUUACAGGUGAUGUCAUUGAACUCUUAAGUGCAAGAUGAAACAAGUCUUUCUGGGGUUCUAAGUAGAGUACUGAGCUGUCUCCGAAGAAUUCAGAUUAUUGAAUGUAGGCACCCUUUUCUGAUUUCCUUCAUCAAUUCAAUUCAGGAGAUGUGAUGCAAUGUGAUGUGUCAAUCACAGGGGAACAAAUGACAUGAUAUUUACUCUGCAUCUGAUAGCCUAUCACUUUACAAAACAAUGUUUGAGCCUGGGUGCAGUGGCUCACACCUGUAAUCCCAGCACUCUGGGAGGCUGAGGACACAGGACUGGGCUGUGGCCCUUGGCGAGCCUCCCAAGCUAUUCAGUGAUGUUAGACAACCCACUUACCUUCUCUGAAAUUUACUUUUCUUAUAUGUAAAAUGCAGCUAUUGUACAGGACACAGCCCUGGUGAUGGCUUUCUGAGGAUGACACGAUGGAGGCUUCUCCAAUAGCUCUAAAACUGCGGUGUGGAAAACAUUCGGCAGCCUCAAAGAGCGGUCUUGUUGACCCCAACUAUAUCAUUUUUCAUCAAAAUCAUUCUUGUAAAGAAUGACCAGGCAACACUCUUUGAAAAUUGGAGGCCAUUUGCAGCUGCUCUCUGUUGAGGAAAGUGAAUAAUAGGGUGCCCUCAAGGAAUUGCAAAGGUAUCACUCAACAGAAACUUUCGUGUCUGAAGAAAACUAGAUCAUUUUAUCAUGGUAGGCAUGCUGAUAUGUUUGCUUUAAUAAAAUGCCAUAUUUCUGCCUUUAAUCUCUUGUCAACCCGCUAUUAAAAAGCCCCAAAGUGCAUGUGUGCAGCGCAUGUAAACACUUGUGGUUUUGAGGUUACCACAGAACAUACUAAUAAAGCAUGUAAUUUGUGUUUUGUGCA
ensembl:lncRNA HULC hepatocellular carcinoma up-regulated long non-coding RNA